rnacentral:rRNA from 1 species
AGAGUUGAUCCUGGCUAGGACGAACGCUGGCGGCGUGCUUAACACAUGCAAGUCGAACGGGGUAGCAAUACCUAGUGGCAAACGGGUGAGUAACGCGUAGAUAACCUGCCUUUAAGUUGGGGACAACAGAGAGAAAUUUCUGCUAAUACCGAAUGUUGUAGAGUUUUCGCAUGAAGGUUCUACUAAAGAUUUAUCGCUUAAAGAGGGGUCUGCGUCCGAUUAGGUAGUUGGUGUAGUAAAGGUGCACCAAGCCGACGAUCGGUAACCGGUCUGAGAGGAUGAACGGUCACAUUGGGACUGAGACACGGCCCAGACUCCUACGGGAGGCAGCAGUGGGGAAUAUUCCACAAUGGGGGAAACCCUGAUGGAGCGACGCCGCGUGAGUGAAAGAAGGGCUUCGGCUCGUAAAGCUCUUUUGCAGUUGACGAAUGGUCUAUUAGAUAGGCAGAGACGGUAGAUUGUGAAUAAGCCACGGCUAACUACGUGCCAGCCGCUGC